GGGUCAGUAGGUUGGUCGUGCCACCGGUAUGCACUGGUCUCACUGAUUCCUCCUUCUUGUAGAACCGUAAUGCCAUUUAGUUGGUGUUGCGGGGAAACAGGACUGUUACUUUGAAAAAAUUAGAGUGUUUAAAGCAGGCUUACGCUUGAAUACAUUAGCAUGGAAUAAUAGAAUAGGACU
rnacentral:rRNA from 1 species